CCCAGAAUUUGGGGGAAGUUAUGCCCGUCACCACAAUCGUCACAAUUUUUUUUUUUAAAAUAACUUUGAUUACCAAGUCAGAAGUGAUAUAAAUAAGUGUGCACUCUGACACUGCAUACUGAAACCUGUCGGCACUAUAAGAGACACGUAGAUCAGUGAGCUCAUGUUUUCAAAUGAGCGAGAAGGGCCAACAGGCUUAUGUGGCAACACACAGGGAUGUGUAUGUGAUUUCAGAGGCCACGUCCAGUUUCACCUUUAGAAACUGUUAUCUAUUGAAUUUGGAUUUAGACUCUUUGAUGAAGACUAUCCCGAAUGAUCUGAGACUAGUAGGGUUUGCCUCCCUUUCACAGCUACACAUCUGGGUGACGCCUGUGUUUCUUCUGAUACCCCAGGCAGAAGCAUAUUGCAACAGCCUGAAUCCAAAGGCAGUUGUAUAGCCUGUUGGCUCAGCACCGUUGCUGACCGGACUGCAUCAAUACAAGGAGUAAACAAGGAGUCUUCCUUCCCAUGUGCAGGUCUGACUCCGGAGCCCAGAGUGGGAAGCCAUCCGACACCGGCUGCAUAGGCACUUCCUGUGUGUCCGCAUCUCUCCUUCCCGCUGCUGCAAGGACUUCUGUCCUGGCUCCUGGCUGAGCUCCUCAUGCAGAGAGACUGCCUGAAAGGAGCUGGUCUGCUUUAAUUUCUGUUGCUGGGAUAAAACACUGGCCCCAAAGCAACUUGUUGGAGGAAAGAGUUUAUUUUAGCUUACACUUCCAGGUAGAAGUCCGUCACCACGGGAAGUCAGGGCCGGAAUCUGGAGGGGGAACCACGGAGGAAGGAGGGUCCCUCUCUAGUUUUCUCCCUGACUCACGCUCAGUUAGCUUACUUACACAACCCAGAUGGCUGCCUAGGGAUGGUACUGCCCACAGUGGGCUGGGUCCUCUGACAUCCAUUUCACAAUCAAGAAAGCUGUCCCACAGACAUGCCCAUAGGCCAAUCUGAUGGAGGCAAUUCCUCAGCUGAGGUUCCCUCUUCCCAGGUGACUCUAGGUUGUGUUGAGAAUAAAACUAAUCAGCAUAGAGGGUGAAGGUUAGGAAAGGUGGAGGAGAGGGGGGAACAGAGGGAGGAGAGAGAGGACUGGGAUAGAUUACUCCUCCCACCUUCCCCAGACCUGAGACCCUUACCUGCAUAGACCCUUAUGUGCAUAAACCCUUAUGUGCAUAGACCCUUACCUGCAGCAGGCUCCAGCUGAAGGAAAGGAGCCACCUUAAACACCAGAGUUAGGCUGUGUUAGUGGUGUCAAACCAAUAUAAGGAUUUUUAUUCCUCAAAGUGGCCAGAAAUGUAGUGGCAGUGCUUGAAUUCUCAUCCCAAGGGGACAGACAGCAAAGACUUCCUCCACUGACCAGCUUUAAAGGGAUAGCUGGAGAUAAAAAUAAAUCAAGCCGGGCGGUGGUGGCGCACGCCUUUAAUCCCAGCACUGGGAGGCAGAGCCAGGUGGAUCUCUGUGAGUUCAAGGCAACCCUGGACUACCAAGUGAGUUCCAGGAAAAGGCGCAAAGCUACACAGAGAAACCCUGUCUCGAAAAACCUAAAUAAAUAAACAAACAAACAAACAAAUAAAUAAAUAAAGUUGCCUCCAUGGUCGCAAGACACAAGUCCUGCCUGUUCAAGGAGCCAUCUCCACAAAAGAACUCACUUUAAGAGUAAAUGCAAAGACUUAAACUUUAGCACACAGAUUUCCCAUUCCUAACUACUGCUUAUCACUAAUGAUUGGGAAGCACUCGGCAGCUACACGAAGGAUAGGGGUUGAUGAUACGCGUGGAGAUCAAAAGGAAGAAUAAAAAGGCUGCAAGCAUGUGUGGCUUCUAUCGCCUACCCACACUUGAAGAAAGCUGUAUCUGGUGAGGGAGUGCAUGGCGUCUUUAAUACCCAGAACAAACAAACGAAAAUCAAAGCCGGUGCCCACUGCUCACCUGGCUCACGCUCAUAACAAGUAACUUAACUGUAGUCUUACCUCCAUUAUUCUACGCGUAGGAAGCAGAGUCACUCCUCUCCCCAUCGAUGAAGACAUCUCGUAAACCAAGUUUUCUGUGCCAUUCUUAGUUCCCAAGCUGUUUCCCACUGUGCUGGGCACCGGACAACACACUUAUUUCUUCAGAUCACACGCAAACAAGAAUUUCAUUUUUUUUUUAAAAUCCUGACCCUUCUCCUUUAUAACCCCGAGUUAUAAAGGUCUUCAUUAAACACCAGAUCUUCAGCCUAGAGACCGCACAGCAGAACGGUGAACUUAUUCUUGGCUUUAGUGUGGCCUUGGGAAGAUACGGCAGGAAGCACGCAGAGGUGACUUUCAUCUUUCCGGGUGCCUGGCUCAUAUUCAGGGGUUUUAAUUAGAAAUUUGUUUGAGGGUUGGGGAUAUAGCUCAGUGGUAGAGUGCUUGCCUAGCAAGCGCGAGGCCCUGGGUUCGGUCCUCAGCUCCGGUAAAAAAAAAAAAAAAAAAGAAAGAAAUUUAUUUGUUACAGUGCAUAUAAAACAUUAACUUUAAACUGGGUGUAGAGGCACAGGCCUUUAAUCCCAGCACUUGAGAAACAGAGGCAGACGUAUCUCUGUGAGUUCGAGGCCAGCCUGGUCUACAUAGUGAGUCCCAGGACAGCCAGGGUUACAUAGAGAGACUCUACCUUGAAAAAACAAAAAUCAAACCAAACCAACUAGCCAAGCAAACAACCAAAAAGCUGUAUCCUCUAAUUAUCAUUUACAACAACUAAUCGUAACUUUCAAAAGAGCUACUAGAGAGGAUUUUCCAGAAGUUUUUCUAAUUACCGUUGCUGGCCUGGUACUCAGUAUGUAGACCAAGCUGAUCUCAAACUCACAGAGAUCCUCCUGCCUCUACCUCCUGAGCACUGGGAUUAAAGGUGUGCCACCACGCUUUAGCUAAGGAGUACAGUUAUUACAUGAUAUUUCUAUGUACAUCAAGUUUCCCAAAACUCUGCAGUUCAUAUCAUAUCACAGACAAGGGCACAUUUUCUCAACUAUUAAGUGUCCCUCAAAAUAAAUAAGAAAAUUGGAGUCUUCGAGACGGCUCAGCAGGUAAAGGCACCUGCCGUGUAAGCCUGACAACCUGAGUUAGACCCCUAGACCCCACAAAAUGGUGGAAGGAGACAAGCAGCUCCACCAUGUUGCUGUCUGACCUCCACAUAAGCCCCACGACACAGGAGCACACACACACCGUGCACACUCACGUACCAUAGCAAUAAAUGCAUUUUUUUUCUCCUGGAGACGGGGUUUCUCCGUGCAGCCCUGGCUGGGUGUGAUAGCAUAGGCUUGUAACCUCCGGCACUUGGGAAGUGGAGACAGGAGGGUUUCGAGUUUAAGGCCAGUCUGGGCUACAUAGCAAGACCCUGCCCGCCUCAACACACACACACACACACACACACACACACACACACACACACACACACACACACACACACACAGAGAGAGAGAGAGAGAGAGAGAGAGAGAGAGAGAGAGAGAGAGAGAGAGAGAGA